UACAUUAGUUUGCAACAUGUUUUAAAAUAAACACUUCGCUAUGUUUGUAGUUUCUUAACAUUUUGGCCAAUAUUAAAAGUCGGAAUAAAGGACGGAAACGAAAUAACCAACUAAAAUACAGAAAUAAAACUGUUGAAAUACCUAGGCGUUUGUGACAAUUGUUCAGUGUUCGAAUAUAGUGAUAGAUACACGUUACGCCCAUCAUCUACACUUUUUAAACACUAGCCCGAUAAACGGAAAAAGAUGUCCAUGCCAAUGAGUAAUUUGGAAAAAGGCGGUUAUGUGCCUCCUGGCUACAACCAAAAUGCUCCAUCUGCACCAGGACCGCCUGGAAAUUAUGGUUACGCGCCGGUACCACAACAAAUGCCCUACGGAGAAGCACCUUUUGGCAGUGGCCAACCACAGUAUGCAGGGCAACCGCCAUACGCUGGCCAGCCUCCAUAUGGCGGUCAGCAACCUCCUUACGCUGGUGCACCUGCUCCCGGUUUUGCGCCCCAAUAUAAUGGUGGAGGAGGGUUCCAACCUGGAUAUGGACCACCACAAGGCCCUAUUGUUCAACAGCCCGGACAACCUAUGAUGCCUGGUCAACCAAUGGGCCCAGGUCAACCAAUGGCUCCACCGGGCGAGUGGAUGAGUAUACCAGCCGGCAUUCCGAAUUGUCCUCGCGGCUUGGAGUACCUUACGAGUAUAGAUCAACUUUUGGUUAAGCAAAAGGUUGAACUUUUGGAAGCAUUCACCGGUUUUGAGACAAACAAUAAAUUCUCCAUUAAAAAUGCUCUCGGCCAAAAAGUCUACUAUGCCAUUGAAGACACCGAUUGCUGUACUCGCCAAAUGUGCGGUCCCGCACGUCCUUUUGAUAUGAAAAUCUUUGAUAAUUUCCGCAAUGAGGUGAUGCAUUUACAUCGUCCAUUGGCUUGUUCGUCAUGUUGCUUCCCAUGCUGUCUGCAAUCUAUGGAAGUUUCGGCUCCUCCCGGCAAUGUUAUAGGCACCAUUGAACAGGAAUGGACAAUAUGUUCACCAGCCUUCCGUCUUAAGAAUCAUGUGGGUGAUACUGUAUUGCGUAUUGAGGGUCCAUUUUGUACCUUCUCGUUUUGCGGUGAUGUGGAAUUCCAGAUUGUAUCUUUGACUGGGGAAAAUAUUGGCAAAAUUUCAAAACAGUGGUCCGGUUUUGCCCGUGAAAUAUUUACCGAUGCUGAUUUCUUUGGUAUUACGUUCCCCUUGGAUUUGGAUGUUCGUAUGAAAGCAGUGCUUUUGGGGGCAUUAUUCCUUAUUCGUUAUUACAAUGGAAGGUCUGUGAAACCUCCGCGUACUCGUAUACGUCAAGGUAUCAAUAAAGCAGUCAGCAGAGUCAUGGUAUAAUUUGAAGUGUUAUUGCAACUGUAUAAAACAAGGGUUCAUAUCACAUUUGGGAGAAAAUCGCUUAGCAUCUCUUCAUAUUGUUACUUAAACUUAAUACGAUAUUCUCCUGCCUCUCCCAGGAUUUUGAAUUGUGCAAGGUGAUGUGUGGAUGCCAUGUUCUUCGAGAAAUCUGGUAAUAGAGAAUCUGACGGAAUAGGAAUGCUGUCUUAAAUAUACCAUCGUACAAUGUGUAUUUAUGUAUAAGUGUAUCCAUCUCCUGCGGUACCGCCCGUGUGUCACUUGCAGUCUUAUAUGUUUUUUUUCUCGUUAUAUUUGAAUAACAAUGCUGAUGUGCCUAAAAUUUACCUAUGUAAAUUAAAAGCCAAAUGAAAUCCUUAUGAAUGUUUAACAUCAUCAUUAUGCUCCCCACCACAUGAUUGGUAACUUGUGUUUAUGUAAAUAAUGAUGUAAUUUAAUUAUUUAUUAUACUAUUUGGUGUGUGAACAUACAUAUUCACUUUUUAUACAUGAAUUCUUUUAGUUAGUCGGGUGUGUCCUGGGAUUCACUUUCGCCUUACCCUUUAAAACAGUUCGUUAUUAUCACGCCUUGUGCCGCAAAACUUCAUUGGUGAUGCACAUCUAUGACAUGUUGACACUUCAUUUGCGUGAUAAUUACAAAUGCCCUCAGAGGGUGGAAGGGAAAGUAACACCUAGAACACACCGGAAUGGUUUUUGAAUUAAUUUGCCAUUUUUUUUUUUUAUUUUUAUUAUUAUUUUUUAACAUAUACUCAGGAACUAGUGACGACGCGUUAUUAAAAUAUUUCAUAUUUUUAUAAACAGAGCGUAUAUGCUUAGGUAGCUUUUAAGAUGCGAACAGCUUGACACAAUUCAAAGCAAAGAGGCAUGAAAAAUUUAUUUUUAUUAUCUCUAUGGAUAGAAUUAAUUACAUUUUGUCUUUUUGCCAUCGCAUGGAAAUCACGUCUUUCAUCUUUUCCAUGUACUUGAAUUGACAAAGAAAAACUUUGUUUUACUUUAUAAUAUGCAGUGCUCUACAUUACUCUUAAAACUUCUGUCUUAUAUAUUUAAAUAAUAAAUGUGUUAAACUAA